GCUGAGGCUAUCCAAGAAGUGUCCCCUUAGGCUACAUAAAGGGAAAGUGUCACUUUUGAUCCCAGCGCUGAGGUGUGAAGGGUAGAGCAGAUGACGGUGUGUCUUGUGUCACUUGUCUAACGUGUCUUGUGCUGUUUACAUGUCUCAUGUCAUGCAUCUUCUACCUUAGCCCUUUGCGGGGCCCAUCAGAAACCCUGGCAUCAUUCUUAGCAUCUGUGAUCUCUGCAUUUCUUGGCCUGGCACCGAUGCAACAGGACUUUUGGCUCAGGAGCUCGGACAGGCAUCAGAGUUGCAUUUCUCUUUAGGAGCAUCCGGUCCGAUGUCUUUGCAGGUCUUGUUCCGAGCCGUAUGUACUGCUGUGCAUUGCAAGGAUCCAUUAUUGCAGAUUAGGGCUUGUAAGAAUGCAAAGAUAGGUAGGGGAUUCUGACCGUAGGAUUCUCAGACAUCCAUCUUCGCAGUUCUUUGACGAAAUCAUUCUCUUAGGAGAUGCUUCCUCCAUGGUUGUCUGAGCCUCAUCAGCUCACUGUCAAUCUCACCUCAGUCAUUUCAUUUUCCAUUCUUUCAGUCCUUGCAGUCAUUCUUCUUGUCAAGAGAUACUAGACCCUGUUGUGUCCUCAGUGUUUGUCCUGUCCUGUGUCACGGGUGUCCGCACACGUUUGUGCCGGAGCUGCUCUGCCCUGCCGCGUAGCGUGGUGUAAUAGGACACAUCCUGAGGGCUUGAAAUUUGUAGUGUGUGGUGUAGUUGGAUUCUAGAUGGUAUUCCUGGGUUGACCCUAGGAAGUUGUCUGGAGCUGUGAAGUUAUCCUGCUGUCCUUUGAACUUUGUCCUGACUCUCUUUCAGAUGCAGACAGAUAAAAUCCAUGGCAGAACUCCCUAUCCCAGGAAGUAAAGCCAUCUAGCAGCAGUUAAGGCAAAGUGGUCAAGGCUAUCCACUUUCAAUCCAUGCCGGCUGAGGAUGCCCAAUGCCAGGUAGGUGCAAGCUUAUGGUGUUCUUGUGGCUUAUUUGUCAGGUUAGGGGGGUUGUGUUUUCACAGUAUCUCAGCAUGCUUUUUUGUUUUGUUUCUUGGCCAGUUCCAUCACUGCCCUCGGUGUGCCAAGGAACAGAUGUGAGGGGGUGAGUCUGUUUAGGCAGGGUGACUCAUAGGCGAGCGUUAUGCAGCAGCAUGCUAAGCGUGUAUCUUUUCUUUUUGCAGGUACCUUCCAGGCAGACUCUGGAGUCAAAUCAAGAUUUGAGAUGAGCUGGGGCAGUGGUGUGGAGGAGUCCCGGGAAUUACUGUCUUUGAGGGCAAUAGUCACAUUUUCUGUUUUGUCCUAGGUACCGCGAGGAGCUUCGUAGCCAAAGUUUGGAGAGAGCACCACCGAAGCACACGAGACCGUCUCAACGUCCACGUCCCACCGGGGAUGGAUUUUGUCAGCUCGUCUUCCAAAAGCUAAGUGUCGGGGUCCAUAGUUGGGAGAAGGGGAAAAACCUUUACUCUCACAGGAGGCCAUGUGAUGUUAGCUUAGGGGAGUAAUCUG